GAUGGCGGUCCCGGCCGAAAAGGAGGAGGUGGGGCCGCGGCGCGCGCCUUACAAGGGCCUGCGGGCUGCCCGCGGCAGUGCCUGAAAGAAACGCCAACCGAAAGCGUCUCUCCUGGGGUGAGGGAAUGUACCUGAGAACAAGGAGAGCCUGUCAGAAUAUUUUCCUUUCUUACGAAAAAUAGGCGAUGGACCAAUAUAAGCUGAUACUUGGAUUUUGCCAGACAGCCCGGAAAAGGGCUUUCAAAAGCGACAACAAAACGCUUACGUCCUGAGCGUGCGGACGUCCGCCCCUGCGUUAGAGGUUACGCCGGAAGCGAGCGUGUGUCUGCGUCUCUGGGCACCAAGGAGUGGUUUGUCCUGCAGCGUGAUCCCAUCCAGGAUACCACAUUUCAGAAGUAAAGGGGUCUGAGACCAAAAAGUUUAAGAGCACUGUCCUCGUCUCCUACUUCUGCUGAGUGUGCUUUGACUCCCAGAGGAGAGCCGGGGACGUCACUGCAAGUUCCUGAAGUAAUCUCCAUUUGUAGCAAACUUGGACUACUCUGCAGUUUGGAUGGAGACCAGUGCUAUGGAGAAGAAAAAUGAAGCAGGAAAGGGAAUGAGAAGACAUUACAAUUUAAAAUAGAGUGACCAGAGAAGACCUCACUGAGAAGGAUAUUUGAAGAUCUGAAGGAAGUCAUGCACAUACCUGAGAGAAGAGCAUUUCAAGCAAACAGAACAGCAAGUGCCAAGACCCUGUGGAUAAAGAGUGCCUGACAUGUUUAAGCAGCCUUGGGGGUGGGGUGUUGGCAAUGGCUGGAUCGAAGAGGAAAAAGGAGGAGAUAGUGUGGGAUGCAGUAAGAGCUAAUGGGGGACUCAUCUGUUGGACCUUCAGGCAUUGUAUGGACUUUGGUUUGUAUUCUGAGCGCGGUGGGGUGGCAUCAGAGGAUUUUAAAGAGUGACAUAAUCUGACUUAUUUUUAUAAAAGAUUACUCUGAGGUUAGUUUUACAAUUAAACAAGCUAAUUGAAGGGAGAAGUAGAAAAUUCAAAAAUAAUGGUUGGAGACUUCCAUACCCCAUCUCUAUAGUGGAUAGAACAACCAGACAGAAAGUUAGCAAGAAUAGAGAACACUCAAACAAUGCUAUCAACCAGCUAGACUAACUGACAUCCAUAGAACAUUCAAACAACAAUAACAGAAUAGAAAGCUUCUUAAGUGCUUAUGGAAUAUUCUCUAGGAUGGAACAUAUCCAGGCCAUAAAACAAGUCUCAAAAACUUUAAAAUAAUUGAAUUGAUUCAGAGUAUGUUGUCACACCACAAUGGAAACAUAAGGAAAAUUUUGGAAAUCACAACCUUGUGGAAAUUACAGGGAACACUGUAAGUUACCAAUGGACCAAAGAAGAAAUCAUAAUUGAAAUUAGAAAAUACUUUGAGAUGAAUGAAUAUAAAACAUAUCAAAAUUCAUGGGAUGCAGUGAAGCAGAGCUUACAGGGAAAUUUAUUGUGUAAAUUUUUGUAUUGAGGUAUAAUUGACAUUAUAUUAGUUUCAGGUGUACAACGUGAUUCGAUAUUUGUAUAUGUGAAAUGAUAGACCACAAUAAGUCUCUUUAAUGUCUGUCACCAUACAUAGUUAUGAAAUAUUUUUCUUGUGAUGACAACUUUUAAGAUGUGCUCUGUUAGCAGCUUUCAAAUAUGCAAUGCAAUAUAAUUAACUGUAGUCACCAUGAUGUACAUUACAUCUCCACGAUUUGUUUUAUAACUGGAAUUUUGUACCUUUUCACCCUUUUUACCCAUUUUGCUCACCCACCACCCCCUGUAAAUCUUAUAUUAGGAAAAAUAUCUCAAAUAAGUAACUUAAGUUUAGAAUGUAAAAAAGAAACAAAACCCAAAGCAUAGUAAAGAAUAGAGAGGAAACAAAUUCAAUAGAAAACAGAAAAACAACAGAGGAAAUAAAUGAAAACAAGUUGGUGUUUUGAAAAGAUCAACAAAAUUAACAAAUUUUCGCUACACUGACCAAGAAAAAAAAAGUGAAAACUCAAAUUAUUAAAACCAGGAAUGAAAGAGGGGCAUCACUACUGACUACAGAAAUUACAAGGAUUAUAAAGGAACACCAUAAACAACUGUAUGUCAACAAAUUAGACAACUUACAUUAAAUGGACAAAUUGGUAGAAAGACUCCUGAAACUGACUCAAAAAAUAGAAAAUGUGAAUAGACUCAUUACAAGUAAAGUGAUUGAAUCAAUCAUUUAAAAUUUUCCCACAAAGUCUAGGCCCAGAGGAUUUCACUGAAGAAUUCUACUUAACAUUUAAUAAAAAAUUAAUUACAAAUCCUUCACAAACUUUCCCAGAAGACAGAAGAAGAGAGAAAACUUUCCAACUGAUUCUAUGAGGUAGUAGCACCUGAUUCCAAGACCAAAGAUAUUAUGGGAAAACUACAAACCAAUAUUCUCCAUUCAUACAGAUGCAAAGAAACAAACAAAAAAAGUCUUUAAAAUACUAGCAAACUGAAUCCAACAACAUAUACAAAGGAUUAUACAUCUUGACCAAAUGAAAUUUAUCGCAAGAAUUCAAGGCUAGUUUGACAUCUGAAGAUAAAUUACUGUAACAUAUGAAUAAUAUAAAGGGCAAAAACCACAUGAUUACAAUAGACACAGAAAAGCAUUUGAAAAACCCAGUACCUAUUGGUGAUACAAACUUUCAACAAACUAGGACUGGAAAGGAACUUCCUCUACAUGAUAAAGAGCAUCUGUGAAAAUUCUACAGCUAACAUCAUACUAUUAAUAAAUAGCAAAAGACUAAAAGAUUUUCCCUUAAAAUCAGAAACAAGACAAGAUGUCCACUCUCCCCACUUCUAUUCAAUGGAGGUUCUAGCUUGAGUGUUUAGGCAAGGAAACAAAGGCAUCCAGCUUGGAAAGAAGGAAGCAAAACUAUCUGUAUUUCCAGGUGACACACAAUCUUGUAGAUAGGAAAUCCUGAGGAACCCACUAUAAUCUACAAGAAAUAAUACACUAGUUCAACCAAAUUACAGGAUACAAAAUCAAUAUACAAAAACCAAUUGUAUUUCUAUGCACUGCAAUUAAUAGUCCAAAAAUAACAUUAAGAAAGCCAUUCUGUUCACAAUAGCAUAAAAGAGAAUGACAUACUUUGGAAUAAAUGUUGCAAAAGUGUAAGACUUCUAUAUUUAAAUUAUAAAUUAUUGCUGAAAGAAAUUAAAGAAGACCUAAAUUAAUGGAACAACAUCCUAUUUUCAUAGAUUAAAAGACAGUAUUUUUAGAUAGCAAAAACAAACAAACCAAAACCAAAAACCCCUCAAACCACAUGGUCUGGAUAUUCAAUGCAAAACCUAUUAAAAUCUCUGGGUUUUUUGGGGGGAGGGACAAGGGCAGAAAUUGACAAGCUAAAAUUUUUAUGGAAACGCAAAUGACCCAGAAUAGGCCCAACAAUCUUGAAAAAGAAGAGUCAAGUUUAAGGACCUACACUUUCUGAUUUCAGAAUUUAAUACAAAGCUGCAAUAAUCAAGACAGUGUAGUACUGUCAUAAAGAUAGACUAUAGAUCAAAGGAAUAGAAUUAAAUCCACAAAACCUUACAUUUAUGGUCAGUUGAUUUUUGGCAAAGGCACCAAGAAAACCCAAUGGAGAAAAAGGAGUCUUUAAAAAUGGUUCUGGAACUCUGGGUGGUGAACACACAGUGUGAUAUAUAGAUGAUGUAUUACAGAAUUGUACACUUGAAACCUGUGUCACUUCACUAACUAUUGUUACCCCAAUAAACUUUAAAAAAAACAGUUCUGGGACAGUUGGACAUGCACACAUGCAAAAUAAUAUAAUACUACUACUAAUAAUAAUAAUAAUUUAGACCCCAACCUCACACCACACCCUAAAAUUCACUCAAAAUGGAUCACAGAUCUGAGUGUAACAGCUAAAACUGUAAACUUUAGGACAAAACAUGGACUUUGUGACUUUGGGUUAGGCAAUGAAAU